GGCUCAGAUUGAACGCUGGCGGCAUGCCUUACACAUGCAAGUCGAACGGCAGCACGGGUGCUUGCACCUGGUGGCGAGUGGCGAACGGGUGAGUAAUACAUCGGAACAUGUCCUGUAGUGGGGGAUAGCCCGGCGAAAGCCGGAUUAAUACCGCAUACGAUCUACGGAUGAAAGCGGGGGACCUUCGGGCCUCGCGCUAUAGGGUUGGCCGAUGGCUGAUUAGCUAGUUGGUGGGGUAAAGGCCUACCAAGGCGACGAUCAGUAGCUGGUCUGAGAGGACGACCAGCCACACUGGGACUGAGACACGGCCCAGACUCCUACGGGAGGCAGCAGUGGGGAAUUUUGGACAAUGGGCGAAAGCCUGAUCCAGCAAUGCCGCGUGUGUGAAGAAGGCCUUCGGGUUGUAAAGCACUUUUGUCCGGAAAGAAAUCCUUGGUUCUAAUAUAACCGGGGGAUGACGGUACCGGAAGAAUAAGCACCGGCUAACUACGUGCCAGCAGCCGCGGUAAUACGUAGGGUGCGAGCGUUAAUCGGAAUUACUGGGCGUAAAGCGUGCGC
rnacentral:rRNA from 1 species